ACGCAAGUUGCGCCCGAGGCUUGUCCGAGGGCAUUUCCGCUAGAGCGUCACC
rnacentral:rRNA from 1 species